CGGAUACGUAAAGUUCUGUUGGAAAGGGGAAAAAGAGCGGAGAGAGGAAAUGGUCUCCGAUUGAUAUUACCCUUCGAGGAAGUCACGGCUAACUACGUGCC
rnacentral:rRNA from 1 species